rnacentral:rRNA from 1 species
UACAGAGGUCCCAAGCGUUGUUCGGAUUCACUGGGCGUAAAGGGUGCGUAGGUGGCCGGAUCAGUCUGAUGUGAAAUCUCGGAGCCCAACUCCGAAACGGCAUUGGAUACUAUUUGGCUGGAGGUUGGGAGGGGGGACUGGAAUUCUCGGUGUAGCAGUGAAAUGCGUAGAUAUCGAGAGGAACACCAGCGGCGAAGGCGAGUCCCUGGACCAAUCCUGACACUGAGGCACGAAAGCCAGGGGAG